GACAUACUCCCUCCGUUCGGAAUUACUUGUCGCAGAAAUGGAUGUAUCUAGAUUUAUUUUAGUUCUAAAUACAUUCAUUUUCAAGACAAGUAAUUCCGAACGGAGGGAGUAUAUU
rnacentral:pre_miRNA from 1 species